rnacentral:miRNA from 1 species
GUUACAUCGGUGUAAUUAUAACCCCCUACACACACACAUAUAUAUGUGUGUGUGUAGGGGGUUAUAAUUACACCGGUAUAACUGUUAUU